rnacentral:misc_RNA from 1 species
ACCCCAUUGCUGGUGCAGGAGAAUGGGGUGAGAAAGCCUGCACCAGCAAGCGCGGCACGCGAGAUGUCUCACUCGGUGCCUAUUGAUACUGGAAAGAUUUGUCACAUUACUAAUCGAGGGAAUCAUGAAAUGUCAGUGUUGAAGUGAGCUUAAUGUGGUGAUGCUGCCUGGCUUUCAUGAUGGAGCAGCUGGAUAUUCUGUGAAAAAUGAAAGUACCCUUGUAUCGUUACAUCUUCAGUUUGGCCAGAGUCUAAGAAGGUGCUGGAUCAGCAGCAUGGUUGGUGUCUAGACGAGGACUGCAGAUUUUUGCACCAACAGCGUUAGAACCUUAAUAUAGUUAUGGUUUAUGAAAACUGCUUUCUGUGUGCAUGUGUGGUAUUGUCUCUA